rnacentral:rRNA from 1 species
UACGAAGGGGGCUAGCGUUGCUCGGAAUCACUAGGCGUAAAGCGCACGUAGGCGGACUCUUAAGUCGGUGGUGAAAUCCUGGAGCUCAACUCCAGAACUGCCUUCGAUACUGGGAGUCUCGAGUCCGGGAGAGGUGAGUGGAACUGCGAGUGUAGAGGUGAAAUUCGUAGAUAUUCGCAAGAACACCAGUGGCGAAGGCGGCUCACUGGCCCGGUACUGACGCUGAGGUGCGAAAGCGUGGGGAGCAAACAGG